rnacentral:snRNA from 1 species
AGCUUUGCGCAGUGGCAGUAUCGUAGCCUAUGAGGUCUAUCUGAGGCAUGAUUAUUGCUAGUUGAACCCAGCGGCACAGUGGUGCAGUGGUUAGCACUGUCGCCUCACA